GGAAUAUUGCACAAUGGGCGAAAGCCUGAUGCAGCAACGCCGCGUGAGGGAUGACGGCCUUCGGGUUGUAAACCUCUUUUAGUUGGGAAGAAGGGAGCUUGCUCUUGACGGUACCAGCAGAAAAAGCACCGGCUAACUACGUGCCAGCAGCCGCGGUAAUACGUAGGGUGCAAGCGUUGUCCGGAAUUAUUGGGCGUAAAGAGCUCGUAGGCGGUUUGUCGCGUCUGCUGUGAAAUCUGGGGGCUCAACCCCCAGCCUGCAGUGGGUACGGGCAGACUAGAGUGCGGUAGGGGAGAUUGGAAUUCCUGGUGUAGCGGUGGAAUGCGCAGAUAUCAGGAGGAACACCGAUGGCGAAGGCAGAUCUCUGGGCCGUAACUGACGCUGAGGAGCGAAAGCAUGGGGAGCGAACAGGAUUAGAUACCCCAG
rnacentral:rRNA from 1 species